GUGUAACAGUCGGAGGCAACAGGCCAGUCAGUGUCCUUUCAGGACCCAAUUUUGCUUCAAUUGUUCAAAGGCGAGACAUGCUGAGUCUGCCUGUCAGUCUAAGCAGUUGCCAAAGAAGUAGGUAUGUGGUUCUGUCCGGCCAGUCCACCAAGUGCGAUAUAUGUCUGGGAACGUCCCACCAGCCGACACACUAUCCUUUCAAGAAGUUGGCUUGCUUUGCGUGUGGAAGGAUUAGCCAUACUCAAGCUGCGUGUGGGAUCAACCAUCCACAACCCCCCUCCCCCCAGACGUCUGUGUGUUAACGUAGUUUCAAUUGGUUGGUCAGUGCAAUUCAGUGCAGUGAUAUUCAGCACACUGAGUGGCAACCAAACUGGUGUUCGAUUAACCCGUGAUUGAAUCGAUUGGACUGUAUAAAACAAAAUUUGUUGAAUCAAAAAGGUUGGUUCACCGUCAGGAUUGUUCGAUUCACAAGUCAUGAUUGAAUCAAACGAAUUGGGAAUCAGGGUUGAUUGAAUCAAAGAAGUGUAUGCUUCAUGAAUUUAAGAAAAUUUGAACUGUACAGAUAGUUCAUUAUCAACAAUACUGCCAGUGUCAUGGGAUGAUAAUUGCAUAACACUGACGAGAAGAACACGACAGAUGCAAUAGUAUCCCUGAAUCAGGGCUCUUUUUUUAAAUUGAAUCGGAAAAAGAAUCGUUCAAUUAUUUUUUGGCCCAAUCAAAAGUGCAUCAUUCCUUUUUUAAUCUCUGAAUCAAAAGGAAUCGAUUCACCAUUUUUUAAGGAAUUGAACGGUGAUUGAAUCUUUGAAAAAAAAUAAAAUGAGUCAAUGAUUGAAUUGAUCCAAAAAAGGCGAAUCAAUAACCAGUCUGGUGGCAACAUCGCGUCGGUUGAGGACAACAGUGCCCACAGUGUCGGUUGAGGACGGGAGUUCCCAACUCACGUGCGUGCCCACAAGAGAUCCUCAUCCGUGUCACAAGCUGCGUUGCACUUCUGGAGCAGCUUUGCUGUCAAUGCACUGCGACCUGAUGCGCUGCCUGGCGAUUUUGGCCGCGAUUCGUCUGCUGGUGCUCGCCGAUGCCAAUGCCGAGGAGAGAGGGAUGGAGCAGGGCAGAGGGAUGGGGUGGGAGCUUUGAGACGACGUUUCACCGACGGCUGGCGCGCGACCAUGUUUUGUGAGCGGGACGGUCCCAGAGUCCGUUACGUUUCCUGAGAUUGUGUAUGGCUUGUAGUUGCCCGGCUGUCGGGUGUUUUGUGCCUCGUCUGAGCACCCUGACACCCUCCGUGUGCGGCGGUGUCCGAUGUAGAUUCUAGGUCUGCUAUCUACCCCCUCCCCUUCCUUUACCGAACUUCUGACUGCCCCCCCCCCCUCUCUCUCCCUCUGCAGCAAAGUUUUCGUUCUCUGGUCGCCAUGGAUUUCACCGGCAGCUGCGGCAGCGUGUUUAGCGACCCAGUCGAGGCCAGGGCCAUCGAGCUGGCAGAAAGUCACCAUCCCAGGAGAACACACCCGCUAAAGAGGCUCUAAGGUAAAGGACACCAGUCAGCCGCCGGUCACGGUGCUGGACGGCGGCAGGACUCGCUUGUACGACGUCAUCCAGCUGGUGGAGUUUUACCAGCUGAACGCCGGAGUGCUGCCCACCAGUGCUGGGAAUGAGGCCGCUUUCUGGUCCCGGCGUUUUAUUCUCCGGGUAAAGGACAUCAGGCAGCCGCCGGUCACGGUGCUGGACGGCGGCAAGACUCGCUUGUACGACGUCAUCCAGCUGGUGGAGUUUUACCAGCUGAACGCCGGAGUGCUGCCCAGUGCCCACCCGUCUCAUCUGCUUUAUCACGCACACCGUGCCGUCGUCGUC
rnacentral:lncRNA from 1 species